UCACUUCAGCAGCAAAAAUACCAGAAUUAGAGCGAUACGGAGACAAUCAGCAUGGCCUCUGCACAAGGAAUGACACAAAAAUUCAUGAAACAUUUUGUAUUUAA
ensembl:snRNA U6 U6 spliceosomal RNA